CUUAAAUACCCAGAAUAUUGCACAGAGUCUGGUUGGCUAAUUACCUCAGUCUUUCUACAAUCAUUGCUGUGGCCCUCAUCAGUAAAUCUGCGGCCCCGGGGUAAUUUCAUGCUUUAUCCUCCUGAUAAUGAAACCUUGCGUUGACAAUAAUUUCAUUUUUCCCACACUUCUUUCUGAAAUCAAAUGCUCAGAGGAUAUCUGUAGUUUUUGUUUCUGCACGUUCAGGAUCUUUUUGGAGUAAAGAGCCUUUAAACAGCAGAAGUGCACAUGCUGGAUGAGGCGGUCUGAGCGCAGAGGGCGUGUUUGGCUGCACAGAGGUUUAAGGCCUCGGAGGUGAUGAGCUGCGAGGUGGUGACGCCUGUUUGAACACCAGACUGUUCUGAAUUGGUGAGGUAUAUUUUAGCCGAGGUGGAGAUACGAGCGUCUUCAGAGCGGUGAAACACACAACUACUUUUUUCUUCAUGUCCUCGCUUCCACAAAACGUCCAUCAACCAGGUGACGAGCAGCGGGGAAACCAAAGCGACAGGCUAAGUGUUAUGGGUCGACAGCGGGGUUAUAAUAUCGGUCGAUGUUUUUUCUCCAGGAAAUCUAAAGUUUUUUUUGUGUUUUGUUUUUUUUUUACAGAAGUAGGAGUCGCUGUCAGCAGCAGCAGCAGAGAUAAACACACCAUCAGAAACACUGACAGACAGAGAAACUCCCACACACUGUUCAAGUACAGCUACAACCAUUAACAGCUCAACUAGCUAUAGUCCUCACCGGAGAUGCUACACGCGAUUCACACGACCGUCAGCGUCCGUUUUUCACGGCUCCCCCUCCAGAUAAACUGCUACAGAGACGCCCCCCGCCCCCGACUCCUCCACCCAGUCGGAUCUAUUUACAGAGUUUUACAAAAGCGGGGAUGAGAUAUUAAAGCGGGUGAUACUCGAGUGAUAUUUUGCGGCAGUGCAGCUGGGCAAUACUGGCUCAAAUAGAAAAUAUGAAAAAAAAAAACAAAAUUGUUUUGGGACAAAAAAGUCAUGU